CGGCAGCCUCUCGGCCCGCGCCGCUCGCGCUCCUUCGGCCAUUUUCGCGUCUCCUGACGAAGGGGCCCGACCGCGCCGCGUUUCGGGAGCGGACGUCCGAGCCACGGCCGUAGUCCGUCCGGCACCGCUCGGGCACUUUCGGAAGGGAGGAGGCGGAGAACCGAGGUUCGGGAGCAUUCGGGCUCGGAGACAUUCGGCUCGUCUCGGCUCGGCCUCGGGCUGACUCGGCUCCCGCCGGCAGUGGGAACGGGCGAAACCCGCGGCACUAAGCUCUGUCUCUAGAGAGGCAGAAUUGCGCCGGGCGCCGGCGAAAAUCUGCCUAGAGCCGUCCAGCCCUGUCGGCCGGGGACAACAGCCGUCUCAGCGUGUUAGGCAGUGAGGAGAGCCGGGGCUCCGUCUCUCGGAAGCCCUCGUGCGGACUCGGACCUAUUCGGACUGACUCGGCUUCCCACUUCGGGGAGCUUCGACCCUCCUCGGUUCAGGACUCGGUCUCGGCUCGGCGGCUUCGUGCAGGUUCGGCUCUUAUUCGGGCAGCCUCGGUUCGCGUCGGUUCCGCUCCACGGGCAGACUCGGCUCGGCUCUGCUCGGCGGCUGGCUGCUUUUUCGGUCCCUGUUCGGGCGGCGGCUUCGGGCGGCCUCGGCCCAGCUCGGGCGUCCUCUUCGGGCCCCGCUUCGGGCUCUGCGACCGGCGCUUCGGGCGGCCCCGGACGGCGCCUUCGGGAAGGCUCGGCGGAGUCCGGAUGGAGGACUCGGACUCGGCGGCAAAGCAGCUGGGCCUGGCUGAGGCGGCAGCGGUGGCGGCCGCGGCCGCUGUGGCGGCGGCGGCCGCGGCCGCGGCGGGAGGCGAGGCGGAGGAGCCGGUGCUGAGCAGGGACGAGGACUCGGAGGAGGACGCAGACUCGGAGGCGGAGCGGGAGACUCCGCGGGUCACGGCAGUGGCGGUGAUGGCGGCGGAGCCCGGGCACAUGGACAUGGGUGCCGAGGCCCUGCCCGGCCCCGACGAGACCGCCGCUGCCGCAGCCUUCGCAGCCCUGCCUCCUACUGGUCCCCCUGUGCAGCCCUGCCCCUGCCCUGCCUUCAUCCAUCCUGGCUCCCCCCACCCACCUGUCCUGGAGAAGCCCGGGGGCGGAUGGGCACCUGUGGUCACCAGGAACCCCCACGUCCUGAGGGCCAGUUCAGAGGUGACCACAGUGACAGUGGCCAACGUGGGGGCUGCUGCAGACAAUGUCUUCACCACGUCUGUGGCCAACGCGGCGUCCAUCUCAGGACAUGUUCUGUCUGGUAGGACGGCCCUUCAGAUCGGGGACAGCCUGAACACCGAAAAAGCCACCCUGAUUGUCGUCCACACAGAUGGGAGCAUCGUGGAGACCACCGGGUUGAAGGGCCCGGCAGCUCCCCUCACCCCAGGUCCUCAGUCUCCUCCAACCCCUCUGGCUCCCGGCCAAGAAAAAGGUGGAACUAAAUACAACUGGGACCCCUCUGUGUACGACAGUGAGCUGCCCGUGCGGUGCCGGAACAUCAGCGGCACUCUGUACAAGAACAGGCUUGGCUCAGGCGGCCGGGGACGGUGCAUCAAGCAGGGGGAGAACUGGUACAGUCCCACCGAGUUUGAGGCCAUGGCAGGAAGAGCCAGCAGUAAGGACUGGAAAAGAAGCAUUCGCUAUGCAGGCCGACCGCUGCAGUGCCUCAUCCAGGACGGGAUCUUAAACCCUCACGCUGCCUCUUGCACCUGUGCUGCCUGCUGCGACGACAUGACCUUAAGUGGCCCAGUCAGGCUUUUUGUGCCUUACAAAAGGCGCAAGAAGGAGAAUGAACUGCCCACAACUCCCGUGAAGAAGGACUCCCCCAAGAACAUCACGUUGCUUCCAGCCACCGCGGCCACUACCUUCACCGUGACCCCUUCGGGACAGAUCACGACCUCGGGGGCACUGACCUUUGACCGGGCAUCCACAGUAGAGGCCACUGCUGUCAUAUCCGAGAGUCCGGCCCAGGGUGACGUCUUCGCAGGAGCCACAGUCCAAGAGGCCAGCGUGCAGCCCCCAUGCAGGGCCAGCCACCCUGAGCCUCACUAUCCCGGCUAUCAGGACAGCUGCCAGAUCGCACCGUUUCCAGAAGCCGCGUUGCCAACGUCACAUCCCAAAAUAGUGUUGACAUCCCUGCCUGCGCUUGCUGUCCCACCCCCGACUCCCACCAAAGCAGCACCUCCCGCGUUGGUCAAUGGGCUGGAGCUGUCAGAGCCGCGGAGCUGGCUGUACCUGGAGGAGAUGGUCAACUCCUUGCUCACCACCGCGCAGCAGCUGAAGACGCUGUUUGAGCAAGCCAAACAUGCCAGCACCUACCGAGAAGCUGCCGCAAACCAGGCCAAGAUCCACGCUGACGCAGAGCGGAAGGAGGGAGCUCAGAAAUAGGUCUGUGCUGUGCCCGGAUGGUGCCUCCGUGCCUGGGGAUCUGGAAGGGUGGAGCCAGACCCAGAGCAGCCGCUUCCCCGUGGGCCUCUCCCAGCAUGUGUCAGCCUAACAUUCACGUGAGCCAGAUCGGCCUGGCCAGACCCACGGCAGUUCAGUCACCAUUCUGCAUCAGAGGGCAGAUUCCAAAGCCGGACCCGUGUCCCGCCGUGGCCGAGUGAGCGAGGGUUGCUGGUGUCUUUGGGAUACUCGGGAGCAGCCCACCAUCUCCACGUCCCCAGGGAACUCUUCGGAGCACGGCCGGCAGCGUGGAAGCCCCCAGAAACGCAGCCUCGGAGUCUCCCGAGGGAGCUGGGGGUGUGGUGAGACGGGAGGGGCGGCCAGGUGCCCGGGACAGGGUGAAGCGGCACUGGUGGGGGCAGGCUGGGAAAAGCACAGAGGUGGCUGCGCAUUCCCACCUCAGCGGGACCCAGCCUGACCAGCGGGAUGAGGUGUGUGGGCUUCCGGGGGCAGGGGUGGGGCAGGUUGUAAAUUUGAUUUUGCCCGAUGCUUCCUCAGAGAUCUGUAUCAUGGUCAUUUCAUAGAAACGGCAAACUCUGUCCCAGCUCAAAAAGAUGCUAUUAGACUAAUCCUUUGAUCUC